UACGUAGGGUCCGAGCGUUGUCCGGAAUUAUUGGGCGUAAAGGGCUCGUAGGCGGUCUGUUGCGUCGGGAGUGAAAACUUACAGCUUAACUGUGAGCGUGCUUCCGAUACGGGCAGACUUGAGGUAUUCAGGGGAGAACGGAAUUCCUGGUGUAGCGGUGAAAUGCGCAGAUAUCAGGAGGAACACCGGUGGCGAAGGCGGUUCUCUGGACAGUUACUGACACUGAGGCACGAAGGCCAGGGGAGCAAACGGG
rnacentral:rRNA from 1 species